UGCAGGAAGGCGGCUGCGGCCGCCUGAUGCUGCUGCUGCAGCUGCGGGCUGACGGGCGACCUCCGGCUCUGCGGCUGCUGCGGCGCCGCCGGCGGCGGCUGCUGUUGAGGAAGAGCUGUGUCUUGCCACACCCUCCCCACCAUGAUGUUCUGCUUUGCUGUAGAUCCAUAGGGAUGAAGGUACUGCAUGGGAUGCUGAGAGACAGGUUGAAGAAACCACAUCAACACUUGUGAAACUUUGCAAUGUGUUUUCUGUGCCAAAUCUUCACCCCUGUGUGGUGGGAAUAAGACACAGAAUGCUUCAAGAAGACUAAAUGAGCUAAUGGAUAUAUA